CCUACGGGAGGCAGCAGUGGGGAAUUUUCCGCAAUGGGCGAAAGCCUGACGGAGCAACGCCGCGUGAGGGAUGAAGGCCUCUGGGCUGUAAACCUCUUUUAUCAAGGAAGAAGAUCUGGCGGUACUUGAUGAAUAAGCCACGGCUAAUUCCGUGCCAGCAGCCGCGGUAAUACGGGAGUGGCAAGCGUUAUCCGGAAUUAUUGGGCGUAAAGCGUCCGCAGGCGGUCUUGUAAGUCUGUCGUUAAAGCGUGGAGCUUAACUCCAUUUCAGCGAUGGAAACUGCAAGACUAGAGUGUGGUAGGGGCAGAGGGAAUUCCCGGUGUAGCGGUGAAAUGCGUAGAUAUCGGGAAGAACACCAGUGGCGAAGGCGCUCUGCUGGGCCAUAACUGACGCUCAUGGACGAAAGCCAGGGGAGCGAAAGGGAUUAGAUACCCCUGUAGUCCUGGCCGUAAACGAUGAACACUAGGUGUCGGGGGAAUCGACCCCCCCGGUGUCGUAGCCAACGCGUUAAGUGUUCCGCCUGGGGAGUACGGUCGCAAGAUUAAAACUCAAAGGAAUUGACGG
rnacentral:rRNA from 1 species